GCCCCUGCCCCGCGCGGCCCCUCGCGGCUCACCCCGCGCCUCGCGCAGCUCCGGCGGUGCCCGUCGCGCGCGCCGCGGCCUCCCCCUCCCCGGGGCCCCUCUUCUCCCCACCUCGCCCCCCUUCCCUCUCCGGUCCUCUUUGUCCCCGAUGCCUCGGAGCGCUCCUCGCUCCCCUCCUCUCCUCCGCCGCUUCGGCCGGCCCGCCGCCAGUCCGCGGGGCGCGGUGUGGCCCUCCCAACCCCCUCUCCGAGCCCCGCUUCCCUCGGCCCCCGGCUCCUGCCACCGGCAUCCCCAAGCCGUCCGCUCCCUGGCCACCCCUCGUUCCAUGGGCUUCCUUCCCUCGCCCCCCCCCCCCAUUAGUCCCUCGUGGUGCGGGUCCUCCGUCCCGUCUACCCUACUCUUCUUCCCGCACGAAUGUCCUCUGCUUGGAGGCACCUAUCCUGGCAGCUAACCUGCAGGAGGGCCUCCUGGGAGCCGGGAGCCGGGACCCCAUCUAUGUACACCUGUGGUAUUUUCCAGAAGGGGUGUUGGGGCCUGACCUUUCACAGUCCCCCAGCUCACCUCAGCCCACACAGUCCAGAAACCCAGGGCGGGCAGGACAUGAAAACCAUGAUGGUGGCGGACUGAAACAUCUUCAGGUAGAAUCACUAGUAACAAGGGACACCCUCAUAACUUGCGUGACUGGUCCUAAGGCUGGCCUCUGCUACCACCUACUGCCUUCUUUUUCCCCUUUGGGAUUCCUCCUUCCUUCAUCCACAACACAUUCCGUGAGUGUCCUGGAUCCUUCUCGUCUUUAA
rnacentral:lncRNA from 1 species